UCAGGCCUAACACAUGCAAGUCGAACGGCAGCACGGGUGCUUGCACCUGGUGGCGAGUGGCGAACGGGUGAGUAAUAUAUCGGAACGUACCUUAUUGUGGGGGAUAACGCAGCGAAAGCUGUGCUAAUACCGCAUAAUCCCUAAGGGGGAAAGCGGGGGACCGUAAGGCCUCGCGCAAUUAGAGCGGCCGAUACCUGAUUAGCUAGUUGGUGAGGUAAAGGCUCACCAAGGCAACGAUCAGUAGCUGGUCUGAGAGGACGAUCAGCCACACUGGGACUGAGACACGGCCCAGACUCCUACGGGAGGCAGCAGUGGGGAAUUUUGGACAAUGGGGGCAACCCUGAUCCAGCAAUGCCGCGUGAGUGAAGAAGGCCUUCGGGUUGUAAAGCUCUUUUGUCAGGGAAGAAACAGCAGCUCUAACACAGUUUGCGAAUGACGUA
rnacentral:rRNA from 1 species